rnacentral:lncRNA from 1 species
AUGGAUCCCGUCAGCCCAGAACAGCUCUCACCACGCUCCAACCCCACUCGCCUGCCGAGCAUACCGAACUCUCUGCGCACCACUGUGCCCAAAGUCCACUUGUGGGCCUGCUUGCCUGUUUCCCUACAGCUCCAGGGUGCCUGCCUCUGCCAGAGCGAGGGUGCGCACACAGGUCCGGACUGCGGAGGAACCUUGUGUUCAGUGACGCUCCUAGAUUCCUGUUACGCUCGGAUGCUGGCCUCACAGGUGACGACCAAAAUCAACAACUGGACCGCUAGGUCUAGCUGCUUCUCUUCAAGAUGUCCCCCUUCGGUGGACUACCCUGCCAAACAAACCAAGACGACUGACGAGGCCGUGAGGGUAUCAGAUCUUUGGACCGCUUCUCCAAGGCUUUCCGGGGCGUUGACAGAAGUGCUUCUCUUCACAUUACUCAAAGCUACAUUCAUCUAUUACUUAAGACUAAACUAUUUCUGUCUUUAGAGGGGAUUGUUGCUUGCUGAACCUUUACACGUAGUCCCUGACCUGCUACGCAUCCCCUCCAGUCCCUUCCGCUUUCACAACGCUUUCAGUAACUAAAGGUGGUAAUUAUUAAUAGUACCCGUUGUCCUAUGGGCUGCAGGAAGACAUUUCUCCUGCUCUGAGGAGGUGCCUAAGAGCCAUGCUGUUUUCUGUAGCAACCCUGGGGCUUCCCAGAGCCCAUCAGUGUUCUCUUAGGCUUUUCCCAAGCCUUGUAUUUUUUUAGGUUAUUCCUUAGCCUGCAAUUUUAUGUUAAUGUUCUCCUGAAGCAUUGCGCACAGCACGAUUAUCCCACAUCAGUCACAUCUUACACGUACAGAGGGUUCUGAGAGGCAUCUCAGAGGAAAAGGGAGAAAAAUCUGCUCAUCAUCUGUGCACCCACCCAUCAACAUUCUUCACCAAGAAGUGCUGUAAAUUCCCUUUUCGCUAAAGUGGGACCGAGUCAAGGGGGAGACACAGAUCACCUCCCAUAUUUAUUAAAACACCUCACUGCUGCGGGCACUGGCUCUGGGAGUGGUUGUAGGACUGUUUGGGGCUUCGGGACAGAGUUUAGGGGGAAGGUCUGGAGCCAGUGACAACGUUGCGGCAGGGUUUGGAGGCCUUUGGGGGGUCUGUGGGGGUGUGGGGGCAGCAUUUGUGGGUGGUUUAAUGGCUUUGGGGGGGCUGGUUGCAGGAAGGGUGGGAAUCUGCAGGGCCCUCAGGGCGGGGCGGGGCCAUCCCAGACGCGCAGUGAGUGCAUAGGGGUGCCGCAUGUCGCUGUCAGCUUUACAGGAGGAGCCACCGGUCUCCCACUCCACCAGAGACGAGGAGGAGGAGGAGGAGGAGGAGGAGGAGGAGGAGGGAUCUAUGAGCUUGCAGAGAACGCCAGAAGAGGCAGCAGGGGACUCCGCAAGGGCUCCAUAUCCUGCAAAGAGCUGUGAAGGACCCCGUGUCCCAGACAAGAGGAGGCAUCAGGCUGCUGGGC